UACGAAGGGGGCUAGCGUUGCUCGGAAUUAUUGGGCGUAAAGGGCGCGUAGGCGGCCAUUCAAGUGACGGGUGAAAGCCCUCGGCUUAACCGAGGAACUGCCUGUCAGACUGGAUGGCUUGAGGCCGGGAGAGGUGAGUGGAAUUCCCAGUGUAGCGGUGAAAUGCGUAGAUAUUGGGAGGAACACCAGUGGCGAAGGCGGCUCACUGGACCGGAACUGACGCUGAGGCGCGAAAGCGUGGGGAGCAAACAGG
rnacentral:rRNA from 1 species